rnacentral:rRNA from 1 species
AUUGAACGCUGGCGGCAGGCCUAACACAUGCAAGUCGAACGGUAGCACAGAGAGCUUGCUCUCGGGUGACGAGUGGCGGACGGGUGAGUAACGUCUGGGAAACUGCCCGAUGGAGGGGGAUAACUAAUGGAAACGGUAGCUAAUACCGCAUAACGUCGCAAGACCAAAGUGGGGGACCUCCGGGCCUCACACCAUCGGAAGUGACCAGAUGGGAUUAGCUAGUAGGUGGGGUAAUGGCUCACCUAGGCGACGAUCCCUAGCUGGUCUGAGAGGAUGACCAGCCACACUGGAACUGAGACACGGUCCAGACUCCUACGGGAGGCAGCAGUGGGGAAUAUUGCACAAUGGGCGCAAGCCUGAUGCAGCCAUGCCGCGUGUAUGAAGAAGGCCUUCGGGUUGUAAAGUACUUUCAGCGGGGAGGAAGGCGGUGAAGUUAAUAACUUCACCGAUUGACGUUACCCGCAGAAGAAGCACCGGCUAACUCCGUGCCAGCAGCCGCCGUAA